rnacentral:lncRNA from 1 species
UCCGUUUAUUGAUAAAAUUAUUAAUAGAAUAAUCAGUUUUGCAUUUUCUAAAUGGCCUGAGACUAUUUUAAUAUUUAUUAUAGUGCGAUAGUAACAAAUGGAGAGGUAAACACAUUUUAACGCAGGAUUAUUGUGAUUCUUUGCGCUGCAUGAAAAUUCAUGCAUAGCCCUUUGUCUUAUUCUCUUGUUUUAUAUUGAACAUCUAAGUGUUUAAGAUGUUUUCCCUGGAGAUAGGAAAAAUUAAACUCCAUAUAUAUAGUGGAAUAUUUAUUAGGAUAACUAUCCUGUUGUUGAAGACGAUCACAUAUUAAAUGAAUGUCCUUUAAUUUGCAUGGCCGUAUGAAUACGUCAUCCAAGUUUGAACACUUCAAUUCACAUAACUCGUAUUAAAAAAAACUUAUACGAGCUUUAACCUAAAAUUGUGUUACAACCUUCAUUUCUUUGUUUUUAUACAAAGUCAAAUGAAAUCCAAUACUAUCAUUACUAACCAUAACGGAAUGUAUUUAUAGAUUUUACGAAUAUCAUUCCAUGAUUAACGAGAUAACCAGAUAACGCAUCUAAUCCAAUACUACUAAUAAUAUUGAAAAAGUAAAAUCACAAAAGUACCAAACUCUGGGAAAGUUCAAAACGGAAAGUCCCAAGUCAAAUGGCAAAAUCAAAAACUCAAACACAUCAAGCGAAUGAAUAACAACUGUCAUAUUCCUGACUAGGUACAGGCAUUCCCUUAUGUAGAAAAUGGUGGAAUGAACCUGUUUGUAUAGCUAGCUAAACCUGUCACUUGUAUAACAGUCGUAACAGUAGUAAAAAUAUGUAGAAGAGAUUACUAUAAGUAUUAUAUGAAUGCAAUUGUAUUUCAUAUUGCGCCAUAGAACAAAACAAAAUAACGCAGUAACGUUUUUAUGAACCAGGAACAACGAGCUUCAACAUGCACCUUGCACAGGAUUUGUCACGUUCCAGUUUUUUCCAUGCAUCUUGCUUUGGGACAAUAGGAAGCCCCUUUUAGUUUAAAAUGAACAGACUGACGACUGCUAGGAUACAUGAAAUAUAAACAAGACGGAUGACUCAAACAGGGAUAUACAAUGUUCAUUAACCAAAGAGCGAUCAAACAUUGUCGUUUAGCUUUGU